CCUACGGGCGGCAGCAGUGAGGAAUAUUGGUCAAUGGGCGGAAGCCUGAACCAGCCAAGUAGCGUGCGGGAUGAAGGCCCUACGGGUCGUAAACCGCUUUUGCACGGGGAUAACACCCUCCACCUCUGUAGGUUUGCCGGCACCGCGCGAAUAAGGGCCGGCUAAUUCCGUGCCAGCAGCCGCAGUAAUACGGAGGAUCCGAGCGUUUUCCGGAUUUACUGGGUGUAAAGGGAGCGUAGAUGGGUUGUUAAGUCAGUUGUGAAAGUUUGCGGCUCAACCGUAAAAUUGGAAUUGAUACUGGUAGCCUUGAGUACAGUUGAGGUAGGCGGAAUUCGUGGUGUAGCGGUGAAAUGCUUAGAUAUCACGAAGAACUCCGGUUGCGAAGGCAGCCUACUAAACUGCCACUGACAGUGAUGCUCGAAAGUGUGGGUAUCAAACAGGAUUAGAUACCCGAGUAGUC
rnacentral:rRNA from 1 species